AGCAGCCGCGGUAAUUCCAGCUCCAAUAGCGUAUAUUAAAGUUGUUGCAGUUAAAAAGCUCGUAGUUGAAUUUCGAGACCGGUUUAUUGGUCGUGCUUUUGUACGUACUGGUAUUAUUGGUUUCUCCUUUCUGACGAACUAUAAUGCCAUUAAUUUGGUGUUAUGGGGAAUCAGGACUGUUACUUUGAAAAAAUUAGAGUGUUUAAAGCAGGCUCACGCUUGAAUACAUUAGCAUGGAAUAACGGAAUAGGACGUUUGAUUCUAUUUUGUUGGUUUCUAGGAUCGACGUAAUGAUUAAUAGGGAUAGUUGGGGGCAUUAGUAUUCAAUUGUCAGAGGUGAAAUUCUUGGAUUUAUUGAAGACUAACUACUGCGAAAGCAUUUGCCAAGGAUGUUUUCAUUAAUCAAGAACGGAAGUUAGGGGAUCGAAGACGAUCAGAUACCGUCGUAGUCUUAACCAUAAACUAUGCCGACUAGGGAUCGGAUGAUGUUAAUUUUUUAAUGACUCAUUCGGCGCCUUAC
rnacentral:misc_RNA from 1 species